GACGAACGCUGGCGGCGUGCUUAACACAUGCAAGUCGAACGAUGAAGCUGGAGCUUGCUCCGGUGGAUUAGUGGCGAACGGGUGAGUAACACGUGAGCAAUCUGCCCUUGACUCUGGGAUAACUGCGGGAAACUGUAGCUAAUACCGGAUACUUUCACUGGAAGGCAUCUUCUGGUGAAGAAAGAAUUUCGGUCAAGGAUGAGCUCGCGGCCUAUCAGCUUGUUGGUGAGGUAACGGCUCACCAAGGCGACGACGGGUAGCUGGCCUGAGGGGGUGACCGGCCACACUGGGACUGAGACACGGCCCAGACGCGUACGGGAGGCAGCAGUGGGGAAUAUUGCACAAUGGGCGCAAGCCUGAUACAGCAACGCCGCGGGUGGGAUGAAGGCCUUCGGGUUGUAAACCUCUUUUAGCAGGGAAGAAGCGAAAGUGACGGUACCUGCAGAAAAAGCACCGGCUAACUACGUGCCAGCCGCCGCAGUAA
rnacentral:rRNA from 1 species